rnacentral:rRNA from 1 species
GGCUCAGAUUGAACGCCGGCGGCAUGCCUUACACAUGCAAGUCGAACGGUAACGCGGGGCAACCUGGCGACGAGUGGCGAACGGGUGAGUAAUGCAUCGGAACGUGCCCAGUAGUGGGGGAUAGCCCGGCGAAAGCCGGAUUAAUACCGCAUACGACCUACGGGUGAAAGGGGGGGAUCGCAAGACCUCUCGCUAUUGGAGCGGCCGAUGUCAGAUUAGGUAGUUGGUGGGGUAAAGGCCUACCAAGCCGACGAUCUGUAGCUGGUCUGAGAGGACGACCAGCCACACUGGGUCUGAGACACGGCCCAGACUCCUACGGGAGGCAGCAGUGGGGAAUUUUGGACAAUGGGCGCAAGCCUGAUCCAGCCAUACCGCGUGCGGGAAGAAGGCCUUCGGGUUGUAAACCGCUUUUGUCAGGGAGGAAAAGCUCUGAGCUAAUACCUCGGGGUAAUGACGGUACCUGAAGAAUAAGCACCGGCUAACUACGUGCCAGCAGCCGCGGUAAUACGUAGGGUGCAAGCGUUAAUCGGAAUUACUGGGCGUAAAGCGUGCGCAGGCGGUUGUGCAAGACAGAUGUGAAAUCCCCGGGCUUAACCUGGGAACUGCAUUUGUGACUGCACGGCUAGAGUGCGGCAGAGGGGGAUGGAAUUCCGCGUGUAGCAGUGAAAUGCGUAGAUAUGCGGAGGAACACCGAUGGCGAAGGCAAUCCCCUGGGCCUGCACUGACGCUCAUGCACGAAAGCGUGGGGAGCAAACAGGAUUAGAUACCCUGGUAGUCCACGCCCUAAACGAUGUCAACUGGUUGUUGGGAGGGUUUCUUCUCAGUAACGUAGCUAACGCGUGAAGUUGAC